UACAGAUAUGCCAUUGUAAUGGAGAAUAUAAAUGAAGUAAUUAAUUUUUAGCAAAUGACUACCAGUUUUUAUUAAAGGGAUAGAUGCAUGAAGCUACCUAUGAUCUUGAGGAGCAGUAGGCUCUUAUUAUUUGCAUACUCACUUAAAAGUCUAAUAUCAAGGAACAUUGAACUAAUUAUAAAAACAAGCUCUUCAAGAAGAAUCCUAUGUAGAUUUUUGUGUAUGAAUUAUCUGGAAAGAAUGAGCUACCGUAAAUAUGGUUGGUUAUUCAAUUCUUCAUUUCAUUUCACUCACAGAAUUUCAACUUAGUCUUAAUAAUCAGCACUCAUAGACUAAGGUAAAAAGAACUUAACUUUGGUACAUGCUUAAUGCUUCAGUGUAGCUUUCCUAAGACUGUUAUAAUGGGUUUCUCUCUGGCUCAUAAACAACCUCUAAUUCUAGUUAAUCUGUGUAGGCAAAUGAAAAACCUAGCAGAGAAAUGUAAGAGGAAAAAAAAAUAUCAUUCACUGUCCUGCAAAAGGUCUUCUAGGCUUUUUGUUGUACAUUGUUCUCUUCAACUCUUGAAACCAGUUUUCAAUUUCUUAUUGCUCGUUAGAGAUAAUUCUGGGUGUAGUGAUUUCCUAUGCCUUCUGAUAGUGUAGCUCCUAACUGUCACCCACUACUGCUUUCUCACCGAUUCAUCUACACUUUCCUUCCUUCCCCUAUCACUUUAUAGAGCAUGCCACAUCUACUUGUAUGCCAGAGCCUAUCUUUCAUAAGUGUUUAUUUCAUCGCUAAUACCUAUGGCUCAUGCUAUCAGUCUUUAUUUGUUCCUUUAAUGGCCAACUCCCUAAACCUGCUGAGUAUAACAGCAAAAUUCCUUUGUCUUUAGGGGAAAAUGUGAUGUCUAUAAAUAUUUAUUAAAAUACUGUGUUUAUUGAGAUUUUUAAGUCAUAUCCUUAUUUUUAAUUGUUCAAAACUAGAACAAAAACAAAAGAGCCAAGUAAAACAAGUAAAUAAAUUAUUAUAUUCAUAUAGUAGAAUACCACACAGUAGAAUACUAUACAGCAAUGAGAAAAUUGUAUGACUUUAACAUACAAGGUUGUUAAAUUUGUAGAUAUAAUAUUAAGUGAAAGAAUUAUUCUAUUUAUAUGAAGUUUUAAAAGAGACAAAACCAUGAAAAUAGAAGUGAACCAGUUGUGUUCUUUUUCCGUAGGAUUAUAAUGGUAAAUGGACAUAAGGGAAGUUUCCUAGUUGCUAUUAUACUAUGUCUUGAUCUGGGUGGUGGUUUCACAGAUGUAUUUGCUUUGUAAAAUUCAUUGAGCUGCACACUUAGUGUUUGUGUAUGUUGAGUGUAUUACAUUUCUUUUUUUCCUCAUCUUUUUUAUUUAAUGCUAUUUCAUAUAAACAAUAAUGUUAUUUUAUAUCCAUUAAGAUGGGCCACAGAGCUGUGGUUUCAAAUAACUGUUUACUAUUAGAUUCCCUUAUUUCUUUUUACCUUUUGAGUGCCUUCACCCAUUUCUCCCUCUCCCCACUUCCUGAUUCUGGAAACUAUCAAUCUGUUGUAUCUAUAAGCUUGGUUUAUUUAUUUUAGAUUCCACAUGCAAGAGAUCAUAUGGUGUUUGUCUUACUAUGUGCCUGGACUAGUGCUUGGGAUACAAAGGUUGUACAAGUUCAUAUCAUUUUGUGUCACUGGAUUUGUUGGAGAUUAAAUGAUUGGUGAUCACAAGUGCUUUUUUCCAGAAUCCUUGGGAAGCUCCAGCACGCCAAUGGAUAUCAUUGUUUUAUAUAUCAGUCUCCUCUGUUGGAUUGUGAAUCUCUCAAAGCCAGGAAUCCUAUAUCCCUGUAUCCCUGCAUCUCUGUAUCUCUACAAGUAACCACAGUGCUUGGUACAAGCUCAGAAGCCGAACUAUUGCAGAAACUAUGUAAGGAUCAUCUCCAGAGACAGGUUUCUCAUGCUUAUGGAUAAAAAUCAGAGGGACUAACAUAUAAUAAUACUGGAGAAGAUGAGACAUCGGAAAAUGUUAUUAUAUUAAUAACAUUGGAAAAUUUAUUAUAUGAAUAUCUACAUGACCAUCCAGAAAUAAAAUGUAUUGCAACUUCUGCUCUUGCCAUCUUGGAACCCUGAGACCAUGAUGGUAUGAAACUCUCUGGGAUGAAAAACCACGUGCCAAGAGUCUUAGCCUUCCCAGCCGUGCCAGCUGUCCUAGCUGAGACUCCAGAGGUGUGAAAAGGCCAUCUUAGACCGUUCCAUCCCAACAAAAGCAAUAAACAAAUACUUGUCUCAAGAUUCA